rnacentral:rRNA from 1 species
GAUGAACGCUGGCGGCGUGCCUAAUACAUGCAAGUCGAGCGAAUGGAUUAAGAGCUUGCUCUUAUGAAGUUAGCGGCGGACGGGUGAGUAACACGUGGGUAACCUGCCCGUAAGACUGGGAUAACUCCGGGAAACCGGGGCUAAUACCGGAUAACAUUUUGAACCGCAUGGUUCGAAAUUGAAAGGCGGCUUCGGCUGUCACUUAUGGAUGGCCCCGCGUCGCAUUAGCGAGUUGGUGAGGUAACGGCUCACCAAGGCAACGAGGCGUAGCCGACCUGAGAGGGUGAUCGGCCACACUGGGACUGAGACACGGCCCAGACUCCUACGGGAGGCAGCAGUAGGGAAUCUUCCGCAAUGGACGAAAGUCUGACGGAGCAACGCCGCGUGAGUGAUGAAGGCUUUCGGGUCGUAAAACUCUGUUGUUAGGGAAGAACAAGUGCUAGUUGAAUAAGCUGGCACCUUGACGGUACCUAACCAGAAAGCCACGGCUAACUACGUGCCAGCCGCCGCCGUAA